rnacentral:rRNA from 1 species
AGUAGUUUGAUCAGUGGCUCAGGACGACGCUGGCGGCGUGCUUCAUACAUGCAAGUCGAACGAGAAUCUAGCUUCGGUUAGAGGAAAGUGGCGGACGGGUGAGUAAAAUGUAGAGAAUCUGCCCUAGAGAGAGGGACAACAGUUGGAAACGACUGCUAAUACCUCAUAUGCGCGUAGCUGAGAUGCUAUUCGUGAAAACUCCGGUGCUCUAGGAUGAGUCUGCAUCUGAUUAGCUAGUUGGCGGUGUAAUGGACCACCAAGGCGACGAUCAGUAGCUGGUUUGAGAGGAUGAUCAGCCACAAUGGGACUGAGACACGGCCCAUACUCC